UCAAGAGAAGAUGACUGUGCCUUUCAAAUGCUGCCAAAUCCUGGGCUUUGGUGUGCUCUGUGUGCUACCAGAAGAGAGCGUGACAUUGGAAAAUGAGGAACUCGAGAUCCCAAAGCUCCAAGGAAUGUAGUCUGUCAGAGCCAAGGGUCUUGGAAGGAAGAGUCCCCAUUGUCCCUUUCCCUUUCCUUUUCCCUUUCGCUUUCCUUUUCCCUCCGCAAGCGAAGAUGGCUGUACUCUGAAGGCAGGUGGAGGCAGGGACAAGGGUCAGGAGCCAGGACAGAAUGGUUUCUUUGUUGCUCGUUGGAAGGAAGGACUGUGUUUAGUGCAGACGGAUUUGCCAUAGUGUUUCUUACAGGGACUGACAGUGGGGUGAGAUGUGCCCUGAAGUGGGCAUGCUUGCCAGUAGGCAAAGGAGAAAUGCAAAUCAUGCCAGUAAGUCCAACAAGGGUGUCCCUGGGGACAGGGCUCCCUGCAGCACUGGGGCUGCGCUGCUGAGCUGCCAGGCUCCCACUGUCAUGCACGAGCCCCAGCUGUGCAGCAGGGCCUGACCACCUUCUCUGCCCCAUGUUCACCUACAGGGGAAGAAGGAGCGGGCGAGGAGACAGGGGCUCGCCUUCUGGAUGCAGACGAUCUGCCUCAUCCUGGUCUGCCUCCAGCUGCUACUCGUUGUCGUGCUGGGCUCUGCAGUACUGUACGCCCAGCACUAUGACCAGGAGCUCUUCUAUUGGCUCCUGCCUUGAGUGCUGCCCCAGACAACAUUUGCUUCCCUGGUGUACUUUACAAGCAGUACCCUGCGUGUGGUCUGUGAUGGGCUGCUGCCCAUCUGACCGCCCUGCUCAGUAACCCUUCCCAGCUCGGGGCUGCGCGGUGGGGCGUGGGGAGAGGGGUCUGUCCCCACGGAAGGGGCCUCUCCUGUGCUCCUGCCCCCCAGAGGUGCACAGGCACAGCUGUGGGCAGUGUGGGCAGGCAGCCGAGUGCCACCGCUUUGGACUUAUCAGUAAGUUUCUACUGUCGUCGUGAGUCGUUGCCAGCUGAACAGCACCACCUGCGACAACCCAUCAGACUGAAGAUCCACACCUGACACCGGGACGUGGCUGGAUCUACGAGUGCUUUGCUGUCUGUCUGUCCCUCUUUCCCCAUUUUCUGCCUUUUCUCUUUGCCAUCUCUUAUUUGACUCUUUGUUUACCUCUACCACUUAUUCAUUGCAAAUAGCCCAUUGGCCAGUGUUACCUCCAAUUGGUUGUUGCUGGCUGUUAAGAAAGCUCUCAAAAAAUGGAUGUGUAUUAUU